AAAGCGUGCGCAGGCGGUUGUGCAAGACAGAUGUGAAAUCCCCGGGCUCAACCUGGGAAUUGCAUUUGUGACUGCACGGCUAGAGUGUGUCAGAGGGGGGUAGAAUUCCACGUGUAGCAGUGAAAUGCGUAGAUAUGCGGAGGAACACCGAUGGCGAAGGCAAUCCCCUGGGCCUGUACUGACGCUCAUGCACGAAAGCGUGGGGAGCAAACAGGAUUAGAUACCCGUGU
rnacentral:rRNA from 1 species